rnacentral:sRNA from 1 species
GAAACUUGGGGGAGGGGUGCAAAACGGGGAGAGGAAUGAUGUAAGGAUUUAGCAGGAGAUAAAGCCAACCAGCCGUUUGAGUUUUCCGGAAUAGGUGCCUGGCAGAAACGACCCACCAUUUUGUGAGACUGUGCUUUCCAUACUAAUACCCUUGUGUAUAGGAACCCUGAGAGAUGAUUGAAGAAAUCCCUUCUCAUGGGGCUAUGAAUUAAGAUCAAAAAACAUUUGUCAUCUAUCUAGGAAAGAUGAAAAAUGAUCUACACAAACUGACAACUGGGAUCUUCAAACUAGGAAUAAUUGGAUAAAAGCCAAACUCAAAGUAUGCCUAUGCGGGACAUGUGUACCAUGCCACCACACAGAAAAACUGGUGAGCUCAAACCCCACGAAACCCAGAACUGAGAAUGGCAGAAGUCGGACCAGCUCGCUGCCUAACUACCUGCUCUGCAAAGGGUAAUCACAACACUCUACUGAGAGGACCAUGACAGUCACGUAGGAAAAUACCUGGGGUCCUUCCCCAUGCUAAUAGAGCAUCGCCAGCAUCUCAAGCUAAGCCAGCUGGAAGAAUCUAUCCCUUGAUCCCACCCUACUCCUCAAUGUUCAUAAAGUCCCCAUCCGCAUGGAAUAACAAAUGUACAACGUAGUCACCAAGAAUUGUCGGAGUGUGGCUGUUUUACUGAGUUGUAACACUUUGGGGAAGAGUUUUCUCUCCCAAAGCAUUCAUCACUGAACCUCAAACCCGCCUGGCAGGCCGGGCUCACGUCCCUUCUGUCCCUGCCACUGUCACCCACUGCUGCCUCCGCUGCUGCUAUCGCUCCUACCACUGCUAUUCUGUGCUGCAACAGUAGCGGGUGAGACCUGAGACCCCAGAGUCCUGCCCUGUGCAGGCUUCCUUUCUGAGAACGAUAACACUUUUGCCAUUUCUGGCCGGAUCAGAGACCCAGGGAACCUCUGGUUCAACGGAGGAUGGUAUACCUCUAUACCUUGCUGUCAUUCAUGGCCUCUUUUUUCACUAAUCAUUGUUAUAUACACAUAACACACAUAUAAUCUCUCUAAGUACAUAAACACAAACAUACAAUAUCUCUAAAUGUAUAACUACAACCUGGUCAGUCUGAAUAAUCUUCAUUUUGUGUAUAUGUUUUCUGGGCUGACUAUUUCCUAUUGGGGUGCUCUUCUCAUAGGAAAACUAUUGCUCCCACUUUCAGCCUUUCUUACUUGCCUACAGUUUUGUUCGUUUGUGUGUUUUGAUUUGCUUUGCUUUUCCCUAGCGUUUGAAGUCUCGGGAGCUCCCCUCCAUCCAUGUUAGCAAGUCUAUUGCUGCCAUCCAUGUUCAGCAGACCUUUGGGUAGUCAUGUUGUUGAGACUCUAUGACUACAGCUUCUGAUAGUCUUAGGAGACACACUCAAAUGAAAGCUCAUUGCCCAUUCCUCUUAGAAUCUUUCCAUACCCUCCUCCCUGAUGAUCCCUGAGCCUUAGGUAGGUGUGAGAUUGGUGCUGUGUGUAUGAUGCUGUACAUAUAGCAGCUGGGAUUGAUUUCCACAAUCCAUAUUUUUAUUGAUUGUAGUUUUCAAUAAUAGCUUUUAUCUGAUACAAUGAGAAGUUU